UAAACAAAUAAUCUUGUUUUUUAACACUAAUCUUUUCCUAAAAGAGAGUAGAUUAUCCAUCUUUGUAGAAAUUUUCAUUUAAUAUUAGAGAUUAUAGAUUAUCCUUCUUUUAUUUAACUUUUGAAUUUAUUUGAGUUGUCUAUAGAAAAAAGAAUUAUGGAUGCUACUCUCAGUAGAAGUAAGAAUAGAUCUACAGCUAUUAUAGAUCUUCAUAAACUUGUUAAUAUUUAAAGAGUUAAAAUUUCACAUAUUUCUAAUGCGAAUUAUAGAAGUACUAUUCCUAUGCCUGUAGAAGAAAUUUAGAAUCUGUGAUAAGAAGUUGUGUAAUUGAAAGAAACAAGUAGAUCAACUUAACAAC
rnacentral:lncRNA from 1 species